UUGGGAAAAACGACUUGUAGCACAGUAUUUUUUGCAAUUUUGUUUGUCGUCUUUGCAAGAGAGUGACCCCGAGAGACACAGAGGACAGAGCAAAUGAAAAAAAGAAAAAAGAAAAAAAGGCGUUUUGGGGGCUGAGACUUUCUCAGAGUGAUGGAGAUAGUGAAGAAAGUCAAGACUCAAGAAACACGAUUUGGAAUGAAGCAGUCCUGAGGGCAUGUGGAGAACCACCACUUUUGAAAACUGCAGUUUUUGGUGCUGCUGGAAUUAAAGAGAAAUGGCAUUAGCACCCAGUCUUAACCUGCAAAGUGAGUGAGUACACGAGAUAAGUACAAAGAAAGCCCUUUGAUUUCAAGUUUUGGGCAGCUAGAUCCAUAUUAUCUCUAGAAAGUAUAAAGAAUUAGUCACUCUGUACAAAACUUCAUUGUCUCCCACUUUUUGACAUAAAGCACAAAAAAUUGAAAAAUAGACCAGGCAGCUUAGGGCUUGCUAGGGAAAUGUCAAAAAGGAGGUAGUGAUUACUUCUGGAUGAAGUUACCAUUAUGACAAUGAUGUGAAUUUUGAAGGAACCAAAAUUUCCUCAAUUUGCAGAUUGGAUUUCUAAUGUCUGAUUGUUGAAAUGUU